rnacentral:lncRNA from 1 species
CUUUUCCAAUUCUAAAAGUUAUUCUGAGUGGAUUUCCAUUUGAUGUCAGAGUGUGCUCAUAAUUUUGAUAGAUUGUGAUUUGUUAUCUGGUUUUCAUUUUAGUGAAAGACGGAGGUCAAGAAGUAUAUCUGGAUCACCUCCACCGAGAGGACGGUCCAUUUCCUCUGAGAGGCCACGUCGAUCUUCACCAAGACUGUCUGGGACACCGAGGAGGAGGCAUUCGCCUCGUCUCUCUCCUCCACCAAGGUAUAGGUCAACCCGCACUAGGAGAAGAUCUAUAUCGCAUUCAAGGCACAGGUCUCCUUCUCCCACACGAUAUAGGGUUCGUUCCCCUCUGCGUCGCAGGUCACGAUCUCCUUUGCGACGUAGAUCAAGAUCUCCCGUGUGGCGUAGGUCAAGGACACCAAUACGAAGAUCACCAGUGCAAUACAGGUCCCGUUCACCCGUGCGACGCAGAUCACCACCUGUGCGACGCAGAUCACCACCUGUGAGACGUAGAUCACCGUCUCCUAUCCCACGACGAUCACUGUCUCCUAUGCGACGACGAUCACCUUCCCCCCCUCGUCGUAGGUUGCCAUCCUUUCGUCGUAAGUCACCAUCCCCUCAUCGUAGGUCACCAUCUCCUGUAAGAAGGCAGCACCGACGAUCACCUUCAACUCCACGGCGCCAGUCUAUAUCCCCAGUUCGGCACAGGUUACCAGUGCCCAGUCGAAGAAGAUCUAUAACACCUGCCAAACGAAGGUCUCCUUCAGUGCAAGAAUCUAUUUCCCCCUCUCCCAGUUCCCUUUCACCAGUCAGGAGGCGAUCACUGAAAAGCCAGAAAUCACCUCUACGAUCUCCCAGAGAAGCAAUCAGGUACUUUAGAGCAUGUUAGCUGCUUUCGAUCUUUAAGAAUUUUUUGAUAUUUGUAUUUUAUUUUGCUUUCAAGCGUAUGGUUUGCAUGUGUUUUUGUUACUGUUACAGUUUAGAUGCUUUAGUGCACAUCUGCAGCAAUGAUAAUGGCGGAACAGACAUUUUUUUUUUUUUAAAAUUAGGAUGCCUAGGAAUACGACAAAAACAAAUCAAUUGAGAUGACACACCCCUUUUAAGCAACUGUGAUAUGUCACGACAGUGUAAUGGUUCAUAAAAAAGAGAACAGGACGUUAUCUACAUAAAAGAACACUGAAGAGACAACACAAUGAAAUUAUGUGCUUAAGACUGUUGGCAUCCUUCCACAUAACACCUAAGCACAGCCCAUAUGAACCAUAACUCAACCAAUCUACUCCAGUUAUUAAAAAAAACCUCGUGUCUUCUUUAUAGAAUAAAAGGAACAUGCUUGAAAUACAGACCUCUAAACGAGGAGGUGCCUCAAAUGGCAAGAUCAUUAAUUUGUUUAUCCAAUAUUCUACCUUUUUGCUGGCACUUCAUUCUUAACUGUAGAUAAAUAGUUCAUUGAAUUGCAACAGAACUUUCCUAUAGCUUUAGUCGGAGGGCAGAAAUGUGAGUUAAUUUUUUUUCUGUAAGGUCCAUUUCCUAGUUUGAAAAGAAUUCAUAUUUUUGUUUUUAUUGUUUAAGGGACAGGGAAACAUGCAAUAUAUCAUGAUGAUGUGGCAGAUAAAUGAAAAUAUUUGAGUGUUGGUAACAGCCACACAAGAAAAAAGUGUGCUCUUUGUUUAAUGAGGUUGAUCAUGAUAUUUCCAGUAUUGCCACUCUCCUUUUUCUUCCCUCUGGUUUUAUCUCUGCUUUUUCCUUUGAUCUCUUGGAAGAACUGGGCUUUCAAAUUAGAGAAACUGGGGUAGAGAGCUGAGAUCUCUAUUAUAUAUCUGGUGAAUUUUGCACGAUUUUGUGUUAUGAGAUGACCAUCUGUACUAUUUCGACUUAUUGCUCUAUUUCCAUUCAAACUGGAUUCCCAUCUGCAUGCACUUUCCUAGUUUGCAGUAGCUGUAAAAAUUUUGAUGCAUAAAAUUCCUGCUGCUGGGGAAUAUGCAUAGAAAGCAGGCUUACUUGAUCUUUGAUCUCUCUAAACUCUAAUCCAAACUCUGAACUGUAGGCCUCUUGUUUCUUUGAGAUCACCGCAAAGGGACAUGCUGGAUCGAAAUGACCAACGUGGAAGAGUGCUGGAUCCGUCUCCUCUGCACAAGUCUCCAUCUGCUUCCGAAGUGUCUGGGGAAGGAAAUCAUAUUGAACGGCAGAGGUUCAAACCUCUAUCUAUAUCUACCUUUUGGUUUUUUUAUCACAUUUUCUUGAGGUGUAACAUUGUAAGUCACAUUUUAUUUGGAUAGGUCUAGUAGUCCUCAUCGUAGUCCUUAUCAAAGAAGGGAAAGGAUCAUUCUUCCUGAGAGUCCAAACCCUUUACCGAAAGGAAUGGGAUCCAAACCUCAUCCUGAUAGUUCUGGGACAAGUGCUGAUGACAGGUAAACCUUGUAUGCUAGGUUUUGUUUGAAAAGUUCAUUGUUCUCGAACGUGGUAUUUUUUACUCUAAAUUUCUGAGUUGUGCAUGGUUUUAUUUUUUAUUUAGAGAGAUUGGAAAGCUUAAACAUAGAUCUUUAGAGAAAAAUUCUCCAUCACAUGAUCGGCAUAAAGAUUCUUUUGGCUUUGAUGAUCAUGUGAAGUCAAGAAAUCCUCGUCAACUGCCAGACAGGUUUGCUGUUGCUGUGGUACAUUCUGUCUCAGUAGUCUAUAGUUUGUGUAUAACUGAUCUAAUUUUUGUAUUUUUUGUUUUUAUUUGAAUAAACCAGUGAAAAGUUAGCUGAAAGAGUGGAUCACAUAAUAAAUCCCGAGAAACAAGAAUCAUUAGUGAUUCGUAAAAGCGCCAUAUUAAGAGAGGAAGGAAAGGGAUCAUAUGUUGACAAUGAUUACAGAGCUGUUGAUAAGAAUACAUCUGUGUAUGACGAUACCAAGGGCAGUGGUCGACAUUCAGAACUUGAAGUCUUGCCUAAUUUGUCUGGGGCAGACAAGCUGAAUGCUCGAAGUCGUUCAGUGGGAUUCAACUCUGAGGAAACUGACAGGCAUAAAACUAAAAUUAAAGAAAAGGGAAAGCACAAGAGGUCAGAGAGACAAGAGGUGGAAUCAGAUGACUAUUCUAGCUAUGAUUCUUAUGAGAAGAGGAAGGAGGCUAAGAGGAGGAAAAAAGAGGAGAAGAAAUUGAAAAAGGAGGAGAGGCAUCGACGGCGGGAGGAACGGCGCCGCAGAAAAAAGGAAAAGCAUGCAGAGAAGCUGAAAUUGAAGUCGCUUGACGCUGGUAGUCCAUCUUUAGAUAUUGAGAUUGAUCAUGAUCGUCAUGCUUCUUAUGAUGACGGUUAUAGAAGGCGGGAAACGCAUACAAGUGACAUGGAGGAAACAGAAUCUGAGCAGAAAAAGCUUGAGAUAGAGUUGAGGGAAAAGGCUCUUGAGUCGCUUCGAGCAAAGAAGGGCGCUCAGAAUUAAAUUUUUUUGCUGCUCUAGAAUAUUUCACUUUUAUUUUCUGUUAUAUGAUCCUGUUAUGAGUUCCUGUUUCUGUCCUAGACCUAUUCUGUUUCGGAUGAAUGUAUUCUUGGUGGCUAUUUAAUGUAAUGUGUCUUUACUGCUGGCAGCUGAAUGGAUAAAUGAGGAUUUCCUGAGCUAGUGUCUUGAGUGCAACUUUAUGCUGACUUUCCUGCUAAAUUUGCUGGUAAUAUUUGUCUUCCCUUCACUGGGAAUAUGUUUAUGUUAUAUUUACACGACACAAAAGUGUGCACGUGAAUCAUCUUGUUGCUUGGGUGGUGCUUUCCAUCUUUUACUAUUUUGUGUCUACUAUACUUACAUUUUGGUAUUUGCUUGUCUUCUGUGAGUUGGAAUUUCAAUUAAGCUUGCAGGUAAGGAGUGCCUAACCUUUUAUUCUUUGGAAUGAUUAUGUGCAUCCUGAAGGUCUUGACAGUUAUUUCCCUAAAUAACUUUGUUACUAAAAUGACUUUCUGGUUAAUUGAUAGAUGAGAAUAAUUGUCAACUUGACGACUUCGUUGAGCAGAUCUUGUGCAACUCCAUAUUUUAGACCUCCAUACAGGUGAAGUAUUUUACUCUUAGUUGGUUUCUCUUAAAUAAUUAUUUACUUGGUUGAGAUUUGAAUUUCGAAUUCUGUCAGAGUUCUAAUUCUACCUCUGUAUCGUUGGCAGCCUGAGAGUUAUUCCCAAGAAUUUGAUUUUCUAUUCUACAUGAUACCUUUAAGUUCCUGUUCAUCCUGUUUCCAUGUUGAUUGCAGCUGGUAAUCAAUACUGGUGCAUAAUUGUGG